rnacentral:rRNA from 1 species
AUUGAACGCUGGCGGCAUGCCUUACACAUGCAAGUCGAACGGUAACAGGUCUUCGGAUGCUGACGAGUGGCGAACGGGCGAGUAAUACAUCGGAACGUGCCUAGUAGUGGGGGAUAACUACUCGAAAGAGUGGCUAAUACCGCAUGAGAUCUACGGAUGAAAGCAGGGGAUCGCAAGACCUUGUGCUACUACAGCGUCCGAUGGCAGAUUAGGUAGUUGGUGGGAUAAAAGCUUACCAAGCCGACGAUCUGUAGCUGGUCUGAGAGGACGAUCAGCCACACUGGGACUGAGACACGGCCCAGACUCCUACGGGAGGCAGCAGUGGGGAAUUUUGGACAAUGGGCGCAAGCCUGAUCCAGCAAUGCCGCGUGCAGGAUGAAGGCCUUCGGGUUGUAAACUGCUUUUGUACGGAACGAAAAGCCCCGGGUUAAUACCCUGGGGUCAUGACGGUACCGUAAGAAUAAGCACCGGCUAACUACGUGCUAGCCGCCGCGGUAA